rnacentral:tRNA from 1 species
UCCCUGGUGGCUCAGUCAGUAAAGAAUCUGCCUGCAAAGCAGGAGACCCGGGUUUGAUCCCUGGUUCGAGAU